GACGAACGCUGGCGGCGUGCUUAACACAUGCAAGUCGAACGGUAAGGCCCUUCGGGGUACACGAGUGGCGAACGGGUGAGUAACACGUGGGUGAUCUGCCCUGCACUUCGGGAUAAGCCUGGGAAACUGGGUCUAAUACCGGAUAGGACUCCGGACUGCAUGGUCUGGGGUGGAAAGCUUUUGCGGUGUGGGAUGGGCACGCGGCCUAUCAGCUUGUUGGUGGGGUGAUGGCCUACCAAGGCGACGACGGGGAGCCGGCCUGAGAGGGUGACCGGCCACACUGGGACUGAGGUACGGACCAGACUCCUACGGGAGGCAGCAGUGGGGAAUAUUGCACAAUGGGAGCAAGCCUGAUGCAGCGACGCCGAGUGAGGGAUGACGGCCUUCGGGUUGUAAACCUCUUUCAGCAUCGACGAAGCGAAAGUGACGGUAGGUGCAGAAGAAGGACCUGCCAACUACGUGCCAGCCGCCGCAGUAA
rnacentral:rRNA from 1 species